GCUGUAAGAAGGACAGACCCCCAGAUCUGCAAUGCUACCACUACCAUCCACAGUAAUGGCUAAAUUACAGGGCCAUGGAGCAGGAUCCAAGAGUAUGUGCUACAUGCAGCCACAGUUCUCCUCCAUAUACAUAGCACUCUCCUGAAGCAGAACUGUUUCCCUCUGCAUCCAUAUCCUUCUGAGACAACGGACAACACAAGAAGGCCAUGAAACUACAGAUAUUAUUGCUCACUGCUUUUCCUCCUUAGUAGAUGGAGAUCAGGUGAGAUGAACCUGGGUCUGGUUAUAUGGCCAUUCUCAUGUAAAACACAGCUCACAAGGCUGCAGAAAAUCACAAGGUCUCCAUUUGCUAAGGCAGAUGAAUAGCUCCCUCGCUGGAGUCUCUGGAUGCAGGUCCUAUUCCCUGUUGGUCCUAUAACCCUCAUCAAGUGUCACUGGCAGGAUGAGAUACAGCAUAAGGAAACUCCUCAGCCUCCCUUUAGCACUGCCCCAGGGCUGCAUUGCCAGACUGCUUCCAGCCCUGGUGUUGGGUCUGGUGCCCAGCCCAUCUGGCCCAUCUCAAGGGAGAUGAGACAGCCAUCGCCUCCAACACUUUCCCCCUUCACCAAGCUGCUAAUUGCAGUUCACAGGGAGAUGCUAGCACCUUUCACCACCUUUACCUUCUUGCUGGGAAAAUGCCGAACUUUAUUGGCCCAGGAACAGACAUUCAGACUUCAAAAGAAAUCCUGCGUGUGUUUGUCUUUGGAAGAGGAACAGGACCGGGUUUGGGGCUCAGAAAGUGAGUGCAGACCAUUGCUUGCAGAUCCUGCACAGAUCCACCAGAUGUGCAGUGACCGACCUCGCUGGCACUGUGAACCUGCUGCUGGGUUCAGCUGAAAGUGGCCAACGAGCUUGAAAAUGCUUGGUGGAAAAGGAGGGGUUGACCUACGUGCUUUGAAAUCAUGGAGAGCGGCAUGUGGACCAUCAGCCCUUUUGGCUACAUCUGUCCAGGCAACAAGAGCCAGAGAUGCAGGAUGCAUGAGCUCCCACACCAGUCUUCCUGGCUACCAUUGUCAGAGUUGGCAGGUUGAGGGUGGUACUACUGGUUUUGGUUUACUAUUUUCCUAGAUUGUUAAACAAACAAACAAAACAACAACAACAAAAAACAACCCAACCCCCCCAAAAUCAAGACUAUUUGAGAGGCUCCCUCCCUCCCUGAUAUCUUUUUGUUUAAAUCAGCAUAAUUUCGAACACAAAACCUUCUUGGAUGAAUCAAAACUGUAUGGUCUCACUGUCUUUCCUUCUCCCGCUCCAUGGAUGGUGGAGUAAAGGCACCAGACUGGAUGUUUCCUCCCCAGCACCCUGGAUGUUACCUACAAAGUGGAGGCAUUUCUUUGGGAUGGGAAGAGGUCGUUGGGAAUGAAGACUUACUUGGGGUGAGCUCUGUGCUGCUGCCUUGAAGUGAAGGUUGCAUUUGCAGUUGGGAGGUGGGAAUAGAGAAGGAGCCUAGUGAAAGUGGGCUGUAUCUGAGAGCAUGUGUUGGGGUGUGCUUAGCACUGGGCACAAGCCUAGAACCCAGCAGAGCCAAGGACAGCUUCCCACCAGCUAAGGGACUCCUGCUGCAGCACUACAGGCUUUUCCAAGUACAGUCCAUGACUUUGAUUCCCUACAGGAGCAGUGCCAAUGGCAUUUGGACACCUAAAUCCCAAAGGAAAAGAAAAAAUCCAGUGUUGGUCUUGUCCUCUAAUUCUGAUUAGAACCUCACGGCGAAGAAAGUGCAAGUAAUGUUUGUCUUGUCCCCUGGCAUAGCACAAACUGUGUGCACGGUCUGGACCUAGAUAAGGGACAUUUCGGCCCCACCUGCUGCUCCUCCUUGAGGAGCCUGAAGCAAACACAGAACAGCUUUGGGAUAGGUGGAUAACUGCAGACAGGUUCAUGUCUUGACAUCAACUUGGGAACGGCUUCAAGCACACAGCCCAGAUGAAAUGGUCCAUGAGUGGCAGCUGCCAUCUCUCUACCCUCUCCAUCCACUGAUAAGGCCAGUAAAUAACCCUUAAUGAACUUGGGUUCAUGGUUGGACUAGAUGACCUUAGUGGUCUUUUCCAAACUCAAUGGUUACAUGAUUCUAUAAUUCUCAUUAUACAAGUGGGUAAAAGAGAGGCACGGAGGUGUUCUUCCAGCUGUAGGACCAACCCUAUGAACAACCACCACAGAUCCUAUUUGGCUGCUCUACCCAUCAGACCAUGUCACGGGAUGUCCAUGUCUGUGUGAGGCAUCAUUGCUUUAGGAAAUAGAUAACCUUUUUAUUCAUCAUACAACUAAUGCAGUUGGCUGACCAAAGUACAAAACCACUUUUCAAACAGAAAUCACAGCGUUUCAUCCUUACUGAAGGCUGCUCAGUGUUAAUGUCUGGUCAGAUUCAUGCUUGCCUCUUCUGGAUGGGCUAACCCAGCAGCUGUCAGCAGGACCUGAAAAUACGUUUUCCUUCCACACUUUACAGGCACAGCUCCCACUCAAUUUACAGUCCAUCCCCAAUUUAAACCACAAGCUUUUUUCCUUUACCUUCAUAAGGUAAAAACGCCUGUCCAAAAUUUCCAUUUAAAUCUAAUCAGUUGCUACACGCGCCCAUCAUCCUUUCUUGGAAAUGCACAGGACAUGUCCAUACAGCUCUAUAGCACUAUAUACUCCUCCCUACACCCUCUCCACCCCCGCUUCCCACCUCCCCCCCUCCCCAAACUAUGACUCAUCUUAAGGCAGAAGGUUAAUUUAGGUUAAUUAUCUUCCUGGUUAGCAGUGCAUACAUGUCCCGAACAGCAAUAAAGGUUUGACACCC
ensembl:lncRNA